GUCUAUAUAUUAUACAGGUAAUGAGAAUAUAGUAAGUAACGUUAUCUACGUCGUAUAAAAGAGAAAGCUGAUCUAACAAUAAAAACUUGCAGAAACAAAUACAAUGUAAACGUGUAUGAUAUUGAUAGGCCAUACGUCAUAAUCUUAAAUUUGCAAACAGAUAAAAAUCUAUUAAAUUGUUUUGUUGAUAAAAAUAAUAUUGUGGCAUAUUAUCAGAGUAUGUUUUGAUCCAGAACGACAUUACGAAGUAAUAAAAUACCGAGAUAACAAAUCAGACAAACAAAUAAUUUUUGCUACUAAAUAUAUCAAAAUGGAAACAACGGAAAUAGAACCAUUUUUAAAAACUGAUAGAAACAAAGUAAGAAAAUAUUGGAAUAAAACAGAAUCUGAGGUAUUAGAAAUUUUGGAAGAACUCAAACAAUGGAUUAAAACACAAGAUUUACCCGAGAUGCCAACCGAUAGUAUGUUGGAAUUUUUUUUAACAAAUUGCAAAUAUGAUGUAGAAAAAACUAGAACAAAUAUAAUCACAUAUUAUAAGAUAAGAAAGUUAGUUCCAGAUUUUUAUAAAAAUUGUAACCCAAAUCGAGCUGAAAUGCAAGAAACUUGGAACAUGGGGGUUUAUUGUCCCUUACCGAAUUUAAACGAUGAUUUGUGCAGGAUUUCAAUCAAUAAAUUAUUUCCCUAUAAUUCAAAUUUUGAUGUUCGAAAAUAUCUUGCAAAUUUUCUGAAUGUGUACGAAAUACGAAUAUGCGAAGAUUUAUGUGUUAGUGAGAUUGUAAUAAUCGAUUAUGAGGAGCUUACUUGGAGUCAUAUAUUCAAGUUUUCACCGUUUGUGAUCAGUAAAGCGGUCACUAUAAUGGACAAAGUUGCCAAAAAUAGAAUAAAGAAUAUCCAUAUAGUUAAUGCUCCUUCCUAUGUAAAUAUAUUAUUAAAUAUAGGCAAGAAAUUUAUGAAGAAAAAAUUAUCGGAUCGGAUUCAAGUCCAUGAUAGUUUUGAAAGUUUAUUUUAUUACGUUCCACAGGAAUUGUUACCCAGUGAUUAUGGUGGUAAAGAAAAAUCAAUGGCUGAAUUAAUUGGUAAGCUGUAUGUUUAACACGUUGAGCCCCUGUGGGGUUCAUAGACCCGCAACUGAACUCUCCCCUCAACCCAGAGCUGUGCUAUGAGCACCAGAUGUAUUUUAUUCCACACCUACUCCAUGGCCCAACCAUAUUUAAAUGUUUUUCACAAUUUAAUUAGAGCAUCCUGGUUCCUCAAAACACACUAGGUCCAAUAUCAUUUUCUCAAACUUCUAUCAAAUAAAUUUUUUCUUUGAUCCACCCUCCUUAUGGAGUGUAAAAUCACAAAAAAAAAUUGGCCUAGAGAAAAGUUUGUCAAUCUUGGUCGGGGCCCAACGUAAUAAAAUAACACACUCAGUUUCAAUUUACAAUACUCCCAUACAUUCUCAAUUUCAUGUUUACCCUUUCUUCAAUCCAAUCCAUUAUAUUCCUAUUUUUCGCCAUUCCUUUUAGGUUAGAUGAGGUAGGGCGUGAAUCUACAACUCUUUGACCUAUUGUGACCCUGGAUAGUUUACUGAUUAGGUAGCAAUGACUUUACAUAGCGAGCUAUCUGUCUGGGGGUUAUAUGGCUCACUUCUUCUGGAUUUAAGGAGUGCCAUAGUCUCUCACUCAUAGAGGUGCUUGGUUUUUUUGCAAAAACUACAAGAGCUGUAGAGAGCAUCAUAAUUCAUUGAACAGUUUCUAGUGAGCACACCAGUGACUCUUCUUAGCUUAAUGAAAAGGCUGUUUGGGACAAAAUGGUAGAACAAGAAAGAAAUCUCUUUAAUUGUUUCAGACCUGGGGUGUUACUCCAUAUUUCUGAUUUCUUCUUUAGUAUCUUUUUCCUUCUGGUUCUGAUUUUAUCUUUUUUUCGAAUAUUCUAAAUACUUUCUUUUGUUUAUUACUGUAAUUGUUAGCCCUACCAUGGUCUUGUAUUUUUAUUUAGUUCACUAGAUAUAUAUUUUUUAAGUAGUUUUUCUUCUUUAUUUUUUUGGGUAUUGUUACUUGUAAAUACUUGACAGUGAUUCCCAAUCCAUUGCUGCAUUUUCGGUUUUAGAAUUGUGGAAGAAGCAAGUGAACAAAUACCAAAAGAGGUUUGAUAUGUUGGAAAGAUUGGAUGAAGAUAAUUAGAAAGUUAAAUACAUAAUGUGAUACAUAUAUAGAUUAUUGUAUUUGAUAAUUAUUAAAAUUUUUAUUCAAACCAA